UCAAGAUUAGCAUCAAAUGUCUUCUUGUAAGCAGCCUUAACAGCGACAGAUGCAUCAUCAGCAGGUGCUUGUGGUAGUGGGGUGUCUAGAACAUCUUCCUUUUUAUCGACCCUGAGAACAAUUCUCAAGAUACGUAUCCAAUCCGAGUAGUUUGUUCCAUUCAACUUGUCCUUCUUAAGGACCGAACGCAAAGCAAACGGUGUGGUGUUGCUAGGUGCCAUUUAAUCUACAACAAAAGUAAUGCAAAAUACACUAAGACAAACGUAUCCAUGAAAGAGCAAAUCACAUUAAACUUAUUUAACAGAAUCUACUCCCAC
rnacentral:lncRNA from 1 species